rnacentral:rRNA from 1 species
CCGGCACGGGUGAGUAACACGUAUCCAACCUGCCGUCUACUCUUGGCCAGCCUUCUGAAAGGAAGAUUAAUCCAGGAUGGCAUCAUGAGUUCACAUGUCCGCAUGAUUAAAGGUAUUUUCCGGUAGACGAUGGGGAUGCGUUCCAUUAGAUAGUAGGCGGGGUAACGGCCCACCUAGUCAACGAUGGAUAGGGGUUCUGAGAGGAAGGUCCCCCACAUUGGACUGAGACACGGACCAA